CGGUCGCAAGAUUAAAACUCAAAGGAAUAGACGGGGACCCGCACAAGCGGUGGAGCAUGUGGUUUAAUUCGAAGAUACGCGAAGAACCUUACCUGGGCUUGAUAUCCUAAGAACCUUAUAGAGAUAUGAGGGUGCUAGCUUGCUAGAACUUAGAGACAGGUGCUGCACGGCUGUCGUCAGCUCGUGUCGUGAGAUGUUGGGUUAAGUCCCGCAACGAGCGCAACCCACGUAUUUAGUUGCUAACGGUUCGGCCGAGCACUCUAAAUAGACUGCCUUCGUAAGGAGGAGGAAGGUGUGGACGACGUCAAGUCAUCAUGGCCCUUAUGCCCAGGGCGACACACGUGCUACAAUGGCAUAUACAAUGAGACGCAAUACCGCGAGGUGGAGCAAAUCUAUAAAAUAUGUCCCAGUUCGGAUUGUUCUCUGCAACUCGAGAGCAUGAAGCCGGAAUCGCUAGUAAUCGUAGAUCAGCCAUGCUACGGUGAAUACGUUCCCGGGUCUUGUACUCACCGCCCGUCACACCAUGGGAGUUGAUUUCACUCGAAGCCGGAAUACUAAACUAGUUACCGUCCACAGUGGAAUCAGCGACUGGGGUGAAGUCGUAACAAGGUAACCGUAGGAGAACCUGCGGUUGGAUCACCUCCUUUCUA
rnacentral:rRNA from 1 species